GGACCUAUUAUUCUGAGUUGAACAUGAUCAGAGUAUGGAGUCGAGGAGCAGUCAGCAUUGGGAAACUAGAGGAUAGGCCAGCAUGGUGACCCAGCUGGCCUGAUUCAGGGUCAAGGGAAUGAAAGAAGUGGAAUAAUCAGAGUGAGAUUGACAUGUGAUCAGGAAGGGAGGGAGGAUUCAGACACUGAGUUGUAGCAUGUAAGGCAGAAGCAGUAGAGGAAAUGAGAAAUUGGCUCCCACUUUGGAUAUUUAUUUAAAACUGGGGUGUGAAAGUGAGUGAGCACAUCCAGGUUCUGCUGAGACCCCCUCCGGUCCCAGCCCACCCCUCCCUAGCAAGACCUACCCCGACCCACACCCCAGCAUCACUGCCCUUAAGGGGAGAUGGAUGAAAACACCUGGAGGAAUUAUGCACAUUAAUUUACAUCUGGGUCUGAAUUCCCCAUGCCCGCCCUCCUGUCAUUUUGCUAUUUCAAAGAAUAACAUACCAGGGCUUUUUAUUCCAGCCCUGUGGUGGUGCCCUUUUUGAGAGAAUAAAUCCCAAGUAGUGUUGCCAAAAGCCAGUGACAUUUGCCAUGUUUGAAAAGGCCUUAUUUUGAAGAAUGAUUAUUGAUUCUUUUUCACAUUUCAGAUCAUUCCUUUGAUGCUGCCUUUGACUGGCCCUGGUGAGCAACCCUCAGCUGCGUUCCUGGCUCCUUGACACAGCAGUUCACCCGAAAAGAUUGGUGUGUUCUUCCAAGUAGUGCUUGCCCUGAGCCUAACCACCAGAAAGCUACUGUUUCUCUGAUUAUUUCAUCACACAGAGGAGCUGCUCCAAGCCUUGGCAGGGUUAUUGAGAAUAUGCAGAUAUGCUUGUAAAUGAGCACAGAUAUAAAGGACAAACUCUGAAAUGGAUAUGCUGGAGAGGCUGGGUUCUAAGGAGCUAGACAUUCACGUGUCCCACCAGACUGUAGAGACUCAUGGGUGUGUUACAUAAUGAUAGACUUUUUUUGAUCUGGAACCCAGUGUCUGCUGCCAGUGAGAUAUGUGAGGAUAGGACCACACAUUAUUCCUUCCUGUCUCUCCAGUUCCUGACAUUAUCCUGGCAUAAGGUUUGUGUGAAUUUAUUCUACACAUUGAAUAACUAAGUAUAGAAGAUGAUACACAUGGCCCAGACCUGCCUCCAAAAUAGUCUCUCAGAGAUCACUAGAACAUUAAAAGUCGUGAUUUAGCAAACGCUAUAUGAGAGGAGGAGGAAAAGGCAAAGUCACAGAGGUACAUGCACCCCAAUGCAACAUAUGAGUAACUUUUAUUUCAGUUCUUUCUUCUGUGAUCAGAGCUGUUGUCUUCCUAUGGAGCUAGAACAGUGAAAUAUAAUCAGGUGGAUGGAAGAUCAGACAUUCCUUUUGCUCCAGAAAUAAAAAGAACUUCUCUGGAGGCAACAUACUCCUCAAUAAUUAACACUCAACAUUACUU
rnacentral:lncRNA from 1 species